rnacentral:lncRNA from 1 species
CAGCUCUUGAGUUUUAAGUGUAGUAAGUUAGAAAGGGUCCCCGUGGUUUGGGGUAUCAGUUGAGUUAAGGAAAAUUGUUUUAGUCUUGUCUAUUGUGGUCUACAUGUAUAUGAAAGGCUGUCAAUAUUACUCAGCAUUUGCUGUGCCAAGUUGUGUGUUUUCCAGAUACUCCUACUUAACCUUAAAAAUUACUCCCAGGAGAUGAAUACUUAUCCUGUUUUUCAAAUAAGAAAGCUGUUUUCUGUGGAAUACUACCCACCAUGUGGACAGGAGUUUUUACAUACAUACCUUCUAACUUUAGUGUAUUCCAAGAUUAUAGGCUGUUGGACCUCCAGCACUCUUGAGCUGGCUUCCAAGCUUCAGGAUCUUCACUGUACUUCAUUACCUUUUUUUUUUUUUAAACAAAUAUUGAGAUUAAAAACUAACUUCAAAAAUAGCCAGGAAUCAGAGGUUAAAUGACUUGUCUUCAACUGUUAGCUAGCUUCAUCAAGAUACCCAAUCCAUUGUUGCAGAAGACUCUUGAGUGUUUUCCUGUCCCUCCAAUCCUGUUAGUUAUUAAUGUUUGUGUAUUUGUAAAGCUGGUUCACCAUUCACCCUGUGUUAAAACUGUAGUUCUUGGUUUUUUGUUGUUGGGGGGUGUUUUUUUUUUGUGUGUGCAGUGGGGGGGGAAUAAAAACUUGAGGCAUGUAAAUUUUUAGAAAGUAGUUUGUAAAGAAGUAAAAGGUCUUUGUAAUCCAGGUUUUGUUUUUGCAGAUCACAUUUCUUUGAAUGUUGGAGAGUAAAAUAAACUGGUCUAGGCACUUUUC